GUGCUUGCUUCGGCAGCACAUGUACUAAAAUUGGAAUGAUACAGAGAGGAUUAUCAUGGCCCCUGUGCAAGGAUGAUACGCAAAUUCAUGAAGUGCUCCAGAUUUUU
ensembl:snRNA U6 U6 spliceosomal RNA